CUAGUGGAGUUUUUAAACUCCACAAAUAAUGUCAGGAGAUUAGCA
rfam:Gossypium raimondii chromosome 13, whole genome shotgun sequence.